rnacentral:rRNA from 1 species
CCUACGGGAGGCAGCAGUGGGGAAUAUUGGACAAUGGGGGCAACCCUGAUCCAGCCAUGCCGCGUGAGUGAUGACGGCCUUAGGGUUGUAAAGCUCUUUUCUCCGGGACGAUAAUGACGGUACCGGAGGAAUAAGCCCCGGCUAACCUCGUGCCAGCAGCCGCGGUAAUACGAAGGGGGCUAGCGUUGCUCGGAAUCACUGGGCGUAAAGGGCGCGUAGGCGGCUGAUUUAGUCGAGGGUGAAAGCCCGUGGCUCAACCACGGAAUGGCCUUCGAUACUGGUUGGCUUGAGACCGGAAGAGGACAGCGGAACUGCGAGUGUAGAGGUGAAAUUCGUAGAUAUUCGCAAGAACACCAGUGGCGAAGGCGGCUGUCUGGUCCGGUUCUGACGCUGAGGCGCGAAAGCGUGGGGAGCAAACAGGAUUAGAUACCCUGGUAGUCCACGCUGUAAACGAUGAAUGCUAGCCGUUGGGGUGCAUGCACCUCAGUGGCGCCGCUAACGCAUUAAGCAUUCCGCCUGGGGAGUACGGUCGCAAGAUUAAAACUUAAGGAAUUGACGG